CCUACGGGUGGCAGCAGUGGGGAAUAUUGCACAAUGGGCGAAACCCUGAUGCAGCGACGCCGCGUGAGUGAAGAAGUAUUUCGGUAUGUAAAGCUCUAUCAGCAGGGAAGAAAAUGACGGUACUUGAUUAAGAAGCCCCGGCUAACUACGUGCCAGCAGCCGCGGUAAUACGUAGGGGGCAAGCGUUAUCCGGAUUUACUGGGUGUAAAGGGAGCGUAGACGGCAGUGCAAGUCUGGAGUGAAAUGCCUGGGCUUAACCCCGGGACUGCUUUGGAAACUGUGCAGCUAGAGUGCAGGAGAGGUAAGUGGAAUUCCUAGUGUAGCGGUGAAAUGCGUAGAUAUUAGGAGGAACACCAGUGGCGAAGGCGGCUUACUGGACUGUAACUGACGUUGAGGCUCGAAAGCGUGGGGAGCAAACAGGAUUAGAUACCCCUGUAGUC
rnacentral:rRNA from 1 species